AAUAAACGACGUCGUUUUAGAC
rnacentral:sRNA from 1 species